rnacentral:lncRNA from 1 species
CUUUGGCUGGUUGUGCGCCUGUGCGAAAAAAGGCCUCGAUCCCUGGUUUGAGGACGCGUUUAGGAAAGUCUAGGGCGCCACCGCCCAGGGUCUGGGGUGCGCCAAGUGGGGAAGGUGUGGGGCUCCUCUUUGCGCCUACGGGCGAUGCCUGCGAGCGAUCGUCCCCGCCUCCUCGGGCCUCGGCGUUGACGGAAAUAGAAUGGGCGGCCCUGUGGGGCGUCCGCCGGGACCGCCGCAAGAGCCCUCAAGACCUUCCCAGCUGGACACCUGAGAUAUCGUCAGCAGUACCAGAUGCCUCAUCACCACCAACUCCAGCAGUCAGCUGCCCUCAGAGAUGGAAGAGAGGGCACGAGCAAGUGAGGUUCUGGUCCCCGCAGCACUCAAGAAUGGAACCAUGGGAACUAGCAUGCAGUGAGGAUGCUGGUGGCUACCUUCUGGCUCCCAGCUCUACGAUGGGUAACGUCAUUGUGCCAUUUUAUGUACGAAGAUGAAGGACCCUGACAACAAAACCUAAAACAAACCCUCACACUAGAGCAACAAAGAGGAAAGCUCUCGUUCUCCAGCAGUCGUGGGCGUGUACUGAGACUGCCCUUCCUUUUGUUUUCACGUGUGGCAGAAACUCAGGUUGGUCCCCAGGAGACAGG